rnacentral:rRNA from 1 species
CUCAGAUUGAACGCUGGCGGCGUGCUUAACACAUGCAAGUCGAGCGGUAACGCGGGAGCAAUCCUGGCGACGAGCGGCGAACGGGUGAGUAAUGCUUCGGAAUCUACCCACGGGUGGGGAAUAACCAAUCGAAAGGUUGGCUAAUACCGCAUACGUCCUACGGGGGAAAGCGGGGGAUCGUAAGACCUCGCGCCGGUGGAUGAGCCGAAGUCGGAUUAGCUAGUUGGUAGGGUAACGGCCUACCAAGGCGACGAUCCGUAGCUGGUCUGAGAGGACGACCAGCCACACUGGGACUGAGACACGGCCCAGACUCCUACGGGAGGCAGCAGUGGGGAAUAUUGGACAAUGGGGGAAACCCUGAUCCAGCGACGCCGCGUGUGUGAAGAAGGCCUGCGGGUUGUAAAGCACUCUUAGUGGGGAUGAAAAGCCUGACGUUAACACCGUCGGGUCUUGACCUAACCUACAGAAAAAGCACCGGCUAACUCUGUGCCAGCAGCCGCGGUAAUACAGAGGGUGCGAGCGUUAAUCGGAAUUACUGGGCGUAAGCGUGCGUAGACGGUCUGCAAGUCGGAUGUGAAGCCCCGGCUCACCUGGGAAUCGCAUUCGAGACUGUAUGGCCGGGUGCGGAAGAGGGAAGCGGAAUUCCGGUGUACGGUGAAUGCGUACAUAUC